rnacentral:lncRNA from 1 species
CCGAGUCCCCCUCCCCCUGACACCCCUGUCCCGGGGGUGAAGAAUGGGUUGGCGGGUUGUGCUGCGGGGACUCCCAGAGGAUGUGCGAGGCAGAAGAGGAAAGAGAACAAGCCAUUUUGCUCAUCAUCAACAAACCUUGACCAAGGAAGUGUCUGCGUGUGCAAUGUGCCAUCUGAACCCUGGAGGCAUAAGCAGUAUGGUCACUUGUCCCAGCAUUGUUGGGAAGUGAAAAUGUAUCCAUGGAAAGAGAGCAGAAAGAUAAGACUACGCCCCGGGGAUAAUGAAAAAGAGAGGACUUGACCGCUGAGGGAUGGAGUUCCAAGGAAGUCAGUCCUUGAUGGGGCCAAGCAGCAGGGGAAGACGGGCGCUAUCAGGCUGGGGACAGAGCCCAAGCCAAGACCCAGGUGUAUGAAUGGACAGGACCUGAGAUGACCCGGUGGGUCAAACUGUCUGACUGUAGAAGAGGAGCUGGGCAGAGAGCAGAGGUCCAGGGACAGGCCAAGGUUUGGAAUGCCAAGGUUUGGAAUUUAGGCUUGGCCCUGUGGGUAAUGGAGAGCUAUCAGUGGGUUUCAAGCAAAAGGGAGAUACCAAGUGCUGUGGCCAGCCAUGUUUCAGGAAGAUUGUUCUUGUCCACCUUUGUUUAUGUCAACCACAUUUAGAAGUAACAAAUGUCUGAUAGGGGGUCAGGUGCGGUGGCUUGUGCCUAUAGUGCCAGCUACUCAGGAGGCUGAGGCAGGAGGAUCGCUCAAGCCCAGGGAUUCAAGGAUGCUGUGAGCUACGAUCACGUCACUGCACUCCAGCCUGGGAAACAGGGUGAGACCCAGUUUCUAAAACAAACGAACAAACAAAUGUCUGAUGGGGAUGCAUCCUCCCAAUAGAAUACUAUUCA